rnacentral:piRNA from 1 species
UGAAAGACGAAGCUCUUGGGGCUUUGAGAGU